rnacentral:lncRNA from 1 species
AGACAACAAAAGGAGGUCAAAGUGAUACGAAUUGGAUAGGAAGAAAUCAAAAUAUCACUAUUUGCAGAUGAUAUGAGAGUAUACUUAAGUGACCCCAAAAGUUCCACCAUAGAACUACUAAGCCUGAUAAACAACUUCAGCAAAGUGGCUUGGUAUAAAAUUAACUCAAACAAAUCAGUAGCUUUCCUCUACACGAAGGAUAAACAGGCUGAGAAAGAAAUUAGGGAAAUUACACCCUUCACAAUAGUCGCAGAUAAUAUAAAAUACAUCAGUGGGACUCUAA